rnacentral:rRNA from 1 species
GACGAACGCUGGCGGCGUGCUUAACACAUGCAAGUCGAACGGAAAGGCCCUGCUUUUGUGGGGUGCUCGAGUGGCGAACGGGUGAGUAACACGUGAGUAACCUGCCCUUGACUUUGGGAUAACUUCAGGAAACUGGGGCUAAUACCGGAUAGGAGCUCCUGCUGCAUGGUGGGGGUUGGAAAGUUUCGGCGGUUGGGGAUGGACUCGCGGCUUAUCAGCUUGUUGGUGGGGUAGUGGCUUACCAAGGCUUUGGCGGGUAGCCGGCCUGAGAGGGUGACCGGCCACAUUGGGACUGAGAUACGGCCCAGACUCCUACGGGAGGCAGCAGUGGGGAAUAUUGCACAAUGGGCGGAAGCCUGAUGCAGCAACGCCGCGUGCGGGGUGACGGCCUUCGGGUUGUAAACCGCUUUCGCCUGUGACGAAGCGUGAGUGACGGUAAUGGGUAAAGAAGCACCGGCUAACUACGUGCCAGCAGCCGCGGUGAUACGUAGGGUGCGAGCGUUGUCCGGAUUUAUUGGGCGUAAAGGGCUCGUAGGUGGUUGAUCGCGUCGGAAGUGUAAUCUUGGGGCUUAACCCUGAGCGUGCUUUCGAUACGGGUUGACUUGAGGAAGGUAGGGGAGAAUGGAAUUCCUGGUGGAGCGGUGGAAUGCGCAGAUAUCAGGAGGAACACCAGUGGCGAAGGCGGUUCUCUGGGCCUUUCCUGACGCUGAGGAGCGAAAGCGUGGGGAGCGAACAGGCUUAGAUACCCUGGUAGUCCACGCUGUAAACGGUGGGUACUAGGUGUGGGGUCCAUUCCACGGGUUCCGUGCCGUAGCUAACGCUUUAAGUACCCCGCCUGGGGAGUACGGCCGCAAGGCUAAAACUCAAAGGAAUUGACGGGGCCCCGCACAAGCGGCGGAGCAUGCGGAUUAAUUCGAUGCAACGCGUAGAACCUUACCUGGGUUUGACAUGGAUCGGGAGUGCUCAGAGAUGGGUGUGCCUCUUUUGGGGUCGGUUCACAGGUGGUGCAUGGCUGUCGUCAGCUCGUGUCGUGAGAUGUUGGGUUAAGUCCCGCAACGAGCGCAACCCUUGUUCACUGUUGCCAGCACGUUAUGGUGGGGACUCAGUGGAGACCGCCGGGGUCAACUCGGAGGAAGGUGGGGAUGACGUCAAGUCAUCAUGCCCCUUAUGUCCAGGGCUUCACGCAUGCUACAAUGGCUGGUACAGAGAGUGGCGAGCCUGUGAGGGUGAGCGAAUCUCGGAAAGCCGGUCUCAGUUCGGAUUGGGGUCUGCAACUCGACCUCAUGAAGUCGGAGUCGCUAGUAAUCGCAGAUCAGCAACGCUGCGGUGAAUACGUUCCCGGG